ACGGUUAUACCAUGCUGAAUAUACCGGUUCUCGUUAGAUCACCGAAGUCAAGCAUCAUUGAGCGCGGUCAGUACUUGGGUGGGUGACCACCUGGGAACACCGCGUGCCGUU
rnacentral:rRNA from 1 species